GGAAUUGACGGGGAGCACCACAACGGGUGGAGCUUGCGGUUUAAUUGGAUUCAACGCCGGAAAUCUUACCGGGACCGACAGCAAUAUGAAGGCCAGGCUGAAGACUUUGCCGGAUUAGCUGAGAGGUGGUGCAUGGCCGUCGUCAGUUCGUACUGUGAAGCAUCCUGUUAAGUCAGGCAACGAGCGAGACCCACGCCCACAGUUGCCAGCGUACUCUCUGGAGUGACGGGUACACUGUGGGGACCGCCGCUGCUAAAGCGGAGGAAGGAAUGGGCAACGGUAGGUCAGUAUGCCCCGAAUAUCCCGGGCUACACGCGAGCUACAAUGGUUGGUACAAUGGGUAUCUACCCCGAAAGGGGACGGGAAUCUCCUAAAACCAAUCUUAGUUCGGAUUGAGGGCUGCAACUCGCCCUCAUGAAGCUGGAAUCCGUAGUAAUCGCGUUUCAACAGAACGCGGUGAAUACGUCCCUGCUCCUU
rnacentral:rRNA from 1 species